rnacentral:rRNA from 1 species
CAUCGCCUGUUUACCAAAAACAUCACCUCUAGCAUAGCAAGUAUUAGAGGCAUUGCCUGCCCAGUGACUAAAGUUAAACGGCCGCGGUAUCCUGACCGUGCAAAGGUAGCAUAAUCACUUGUUCCUUAAUUAGGGACUAGAAUGAAUGGCUAAACGAGGGUCCAACUGUCUCUUACUUUCAAUCAGUGAAAUUGACCUUCCAGUGAAGAGGCUGGAAUCUCCCAAUAAGACGAGAAGACCCUAUGGAGCUUUAAUUUACUAGUUCAAUUUAUAUAGAACCAACCUAAUGGGCUAAAACAAAAUAAAUAUGAACUAAAAAUUUCGGUUGGGGUGACCUCGGAGAAUAAAAAAUCCUCCGAAUGAUUUUAACCUAGACUCACAAGUCAAAGUAACACUGAUAUCUUAUUGACCCAAUUAUUGAUCAACGGACCAAGUUACCCUAGGGAUAACAGCGCAAUCCUAUUUAAGAGUUCAUAUCGACAAUUAGGGUUUACGACCUCGAUGUUGGAUCAGGACAUCCCAAUGGUGCAGAAGCUAUUAAUG